UCUCCGUUGGUGAACCAGCGGAGGGAUCAUUACCGAGUUAUCAACUCCCAAACCCCUGUGAACAUACCCAACGUUGCUUCGGCGGGACCGCCCCGGCGCCCUCGGCGUCCCGGAACCAGGCGCCCGCCGGAGGACCCAAACUCUUGUUUAAACCAUAGUGGCAUAUUCUGAGUCUCACAAGAAAAAUGAAUCAAAACUUUCAACAACGGAUCUCUUGGCUCUGGUAUCGAUGAAGAACGCAGC
rnacentral:misc_RNA from 1 species